AUCGCUUCUCGGCCUUUUGGCUAAGAUCAAGUGUAGUAUCUGUUCUUAUCAGUUUGUUGGAGAUCCUUUGCAUGACCAUUUAAGUUUUAGGAUCAGUUUGUUAAUAUUUACAACAAAGACAGAUGAAAUUUGGAUCAAGGGUGCCUGGAGUUUAUACAUCAGUUUGAGGAUAAGUGAAAUUCUAUUAUCAAUUUAUCUUUGCAAUAU
rnacentral:snRNA from 1 species